UUUAAAACUGAAUUACACACCAAAAAGACUUUGGAGAGAAAAAACUACAAGCUUCAUUUGGAUGAUGCUGAAAUGAAAAUGAAAUAUUUUUACUUUUUAAAAUGAAAAUAUGUGGGUGUGUUUGGAUUAUUUGCCUUGUGUUUUCCAACAAUGGAAGUAUUUUAUGAAUUUUUAUUCCUUCUUUGCUUGUAGCUUGCUGUAAUUGUGUUAUUUUGAUUCUUUCCACAGUAUUGGCUUUGGUUUCUCAUUUGCUCAGUUCCAGAUCCAUCAGUUUUGAAGUUUCCAUUCCUGUCCCAUGUGUUAUCCACAGUAUUUAAGAUAUGGAUGCAGAAGAUGAGUACUGCAAUCCCAAGUCAUUGAAAACAAAAAAACUAAGUGGAAAUCCAUGGAAAGGAGCUGUGGAAUUUGGACUAUUAAGGUGUAGGUGUGACACAAAUAACUUGAAAAGCCCCAGGAGCAAACGAAGAUGUUGGUUUGGUACCUCUGACCAAAUUACAAUCACCCUUUGGCAUUUUCCUGCAGCCUGACUGCAGCCAUUGCCUGCUGUAGGCCUGCAGGAAUUUUUAAGAAGCAGAUUCAGCAGCAGAGGCAUUGGCUCCUGGAAUCCAUGGUGGAUCUUCCUGUGGGAAAGAGAUGGUGCCUCCUGCUCUGUCCCCUCCGGGCGGAAGAGCCCUCAUUCACUUGUGCACAAUGUGAUAAUUGAGAGGGAGUUUCCUGGAGCUGAAUGCUGCCUGCCCGGGGUCAGCAGCUGCUCUUCCAUCUUGCCUGCCUUUGACAUCCCUUAGGAAGCCCCAGCAUGGAGUUGGAGGGAGCCCUCCGAGCUGAUGAGUCUCUUUGUUGCUAAGAGACAGCUUCUGGAAGAGCAGCAGUCAUCAGCUUGUUGGGAGGGGAUAACGAACUGCGAGUUAAGAAAGUACAACAAGUGCCACAGAAGAUUACACACAUCCUGCCACACUUUGCAGAUGGCUGAUACAGAAAUCAGAGACAAUGCUAAAAUAAUUAAAAAGCUCACAAAAAAAUGAAACAGUGCACUCAGCUCCUUUUGUGAGGCUGUGGCUAAGGAAACAGGCAGCCAGCCUGAAAUGGACAAUAUAAAUGCACUGUGGGGAAAAAAAGGAGACUUACACUUGGAUUGUCUAUGUUAGCCACAUUCCUCAUUGCCUCCAGAGGGAGUUCUGUUCACGAAGUGCAAAGCAGCCCUGGAGGGAGUGGAAGUUGUCCCGCUGGACCAGGAGAAGACUUCCAAGAAGACUUGGAAGAAGUGUCUGAUCCCUGGAUGCUGCAAUCAGCUGAGGUUUCUGCUUGCCACACGUGCCUGAAUGUGACAAGGAGAGAGGGUUUCACUCUCAGCUGGUGAGCAGCUGAGCACCUGUGGAGCCCCGUGCCCUGCUGGAGCAGGUGCCCCUCUGCACACCCAGGCUGAGGUCAUUUCUGCCCACAAACUGGCCCAAAGCUGUCCCCAGCACGGAGCACUGAGGGCUGCUGCAGAUGUAUUGCACUUGCAGGCAGGUUUCCUUUUGGGUGGGUAAGUUUGUUUGUUUACCUUGGAGUAAUUUGUCACCAUUGUCACUUUUGCUCUGAGGCACCUCAGCAUCCUCACCUGGUGGGAACACGGAGCUCCUGCCACCUCUGUGUUUCCAGCCAGGCUGAGGGGGCUGAGGGCCAGGUCUCUGGGAGCUCACAGGUCUGAUAUUUGCCAUGCUGGACCCUAAAUGCAGACAGCCAUGAAGGGCUAUUUCCAGUCUGUGCAGCUCUUGCUCCAGUUUGAUCCCAAAAAGCUUUUCCUGGCUGACCUGAAUUACCUUUUCCUUUUUUAAAUAUGUAAUUUCUAUGACUGAUAGAAAUGUCAAGCACACAGAUGAAG